GGGAUCUGAACGGCGAACACCUGGGCUGCCGAAGAGGAACAUGCGAACUUAACCGCUGCGCCACCGGGCCGGCCCAAAGAUCUCUGUGAGAAGUGAGAAGUCUCUGUUCUGCAAGAAAAAUAUCAUUUUGUUCAAAGAGAUUAGAAAUGCCCCUUGGAAAAUAUAGUUGUACUUCUAAUACAAUCAUCUAUGCUAAUUCCUGAGUGAAAGCAGGAGAAAAGAAAGUCACCUGUCGGUGUCAUGGACUUCUGAAGCCAGCUCUGAAUAGGCUGAGGCUGAGUUGCUGGGGGAUCCAAGGAACCAAGACUCCACCAUGGAAAAAAAGCAUCUUGAACCAAUCUUUAGUUUGAAAGACAGUGUUGACUACGCAGUCCAGUUUCGCCAGGGCCUGACUGCUUACCAACUUGGAGGUGUAGGUCUAAAUUUCUAAAAUGUGGAAGCUGGUUUCCUAGUAAAUGACAAGACAGGGCGGAAAGAGCAUCGAUCUUAAAACCUGACGAUACAAGGUUCAAAUCUCAGCUUAACACAUAUCUGUGUGAACUAGGUCAGAUUUGUUAUUCUCCGAGCCUCCAUUUCCUUAUUUAGGAAAUGAGAAUAACACCUAGCUUGCAAAGGUUGUGUGAGUUUAUACACACACACAUACACACAGAGAACAUUCUGUUCUGCUACAGUCAUGUUUUUGUAAACAUGAAUUAGCUCACAUGUGAGUGGUAAAUAGUGGAAUAGUGGCAGGAUAACAUAGAAGUCCUGAAGAACUUCACCAGUGAGCUGUUUUCCUCCAUGAGGAAGAGCAGCUGGUCACAGGGUAUAGCUACACAGCUGAAUAUGGCAACUGUGAGGAACAUAGUACUGUCCACAGUGUCUAGUCGCCGCUUACUUUUUUGGCUCAGUUCCAUCCACUGCUCUGCCGAGAAAGUGUUCAUUGCAUGGUUUCCCCAAUCUUUGGGCACGUUGCCCUUGCCACCAUAAUUCAGCAGCCUCACACUCCCCUACACCUCUUCCACCAAGGCAAAUUCACUUCUUAAUUGUUUUUAGGUAAAGCUUUCAGAUUUACUGUAGUAUUUAUUAGAAAUACAACUUUUUAAACUAAUAUUUUAUUAGGAUUGUUAUUUUUGUUGAUGCGCUGGUUAAGAAUUUGUAUGGAUUUUAAGAGGUAUGCUCCUAAUAUAACUUUCCCC
rnacentral:lncRNA from 1 species